AGAACGAACGCUGGCGGCAGGCUUAACACAUGCAAGUCGAACGCGUGUAGCAAUACACGAGUGGCGCACGGGUGAGUAACGCGUGGAUAUCUGCCUUUUGGUUCGGAAUAACCCCGGGAAACUGGGGCUAAUACCGGAUGGUUCCUACGGGAUAAAGAUUUAUCGCCAAAAGAUGAGUCCGCGUACGAUUAGCUAGUUGGUGAGGUAAUGGCUCACCAAGGCGACGAUCGUUAGCUGGUCUGAGAGGACGAUCAGCCACACUGGGACUGAGACACGGCCCAGACUCCUACGGGAGGCAGCAGUGGGGAAUAUUGGACAAUGGGGGCAACCCUGAUCCAGCCAUGCCACGUGAGUGAUGAAGGCCUUCGGGUUGUAAAGCUCUUUUGGCGGGACGAUGAUGACGGUACCCGCAGAAUAAGCCCCGGCUAACUUCGUGCCAGCAGCCGC
rnacentral:rRNA from 1 species